rnacentral:rRNA from 1 species
UCCUCCUACGGGACGCAGCAGUGGGGGAUAUUGCACAAUGGGGGGAGCCCUGAUGCAGCGACGCCGCGUGGGUGAAGAAGCGCCUCGGCGCGUAAAGCCCUGUCAGCAGGGAAGAAAAUGACGGUACCUGAAGAAGAAGCCCCGGCUAACUACGUGCCAGCAGCCGCGGUAAUACGUAGGGGGCAAGCGUUAUCCGGAUUUAUCGGGUUUAAAGGGUGCGCAGGCGGUCUGUUAAGUCAGCGGUCAAAGCCCGGGGCUCAACCCCGGCCCGCCGUUGAAACUGGCAGUCUCGAGUUGGAGAGAAG